UACGUAGGGGCCUAGCGUUGUCCGGAUUUAUUGGGCGUAAAGAGCUCGUAGGCGGUUCGGUAAGUCAGGUGUGAAAUCUCCACGCUCAACGUGGAGGCGCCACCUGAAACUGCCGUGACUCGAGUCCGGUAGGGGAGUGUGGAAUUCCCGGUGUAGCGGUGAAAUGCGCAGAUAUCGGGGGGAACACCAGUGGCGAAGGCGGCACUCUGGGCCGGUACUGACGCUGAGGAGCGAAAGCGUGGGGAGCGAACAGG
rnacentral:rRNA from 1 species